UCUGGUGGUUGGAGCGAGGGGGUCACACCUGAUCCCAUUCCGAACUCAGAAGUUAAGCCCUUCAGCGCUGAUGAUACUUGGACAUAAGUCCUGGGAAAGUAGGUCGCCGCCAGAA
rnacentral:rRNA from 2 species